GUCGACGCACCUUCGGGUGAGUGGCGGACGGGUGAGUAACGCGUGGGAACGUGCCCUUUGGUUCGGAACAACUCAGGGAAACUUGAGCUAAUACCGAAUGUGCCCUACGGGGGAAAGAUUUAUCGCCAUUGGAGCGGCCCGCGUCUGAUUAGCUAGUUGGUGAGGUAACGGCUCACCAAGGCUACGAUCAGUAGCUGGUCUGAGAGGAUGAUCAGCCACACUGGGACUGAGACACGGCCCAGACUCCUACGGGAGGCAGCAGUGGGGAAUCUUGCGCAAUGGGCGAAAGCCUGACGCAGCCAUGCCGCGUGAAUGAUGAAGGUCUUAGGAUUGUAAAAUUCUUUCACCGGGGACGAUAAUGACGGUACCCGGAGAAGAAGCCCCGGCUAACUUCGUGCCAGCAGCCGCGGUAAUACGAAGGGGGCUAGCGUUGCUCGGAAUUACUGGGCGUAAAGGGCGCGUAGGCGGACAGUUUAGUCAGAGGUGAAAGCCCAGGGCUCAACCUUGGAAUUGCCUUUGAUACUGACUGUCUUGAGUACGGGAGAGGUGUGUGGAACUCCGAGUGUAGAGGUGAAAUUCGUAGAUAUUCGGAAGAACACCAGUGGCGAAGGCGACUCACUGGCCCGUUACUGACGCUGAGGCGCGAAAGCGUGGGGAGC
rnacentral:rRNA from 1 species